rnacentral:lncRNA from 1 species
UAUGGAAUCUGAUUUAGGGUCUAUGGAAUCUGAUUUAGGGUCUAUGGAAUCUGAUUUAGGAUCUAUGGAAUCUGACUUGGGGUCCAUGGAAUCUGAUUUAGGGUCUAUGGAAUCUGAUUCAGGGUCUAUUGAAUCUCUUUUAGGGUCUAUGGAAUCUGAUUUAGGGUCUAUGGAAUCUGACUUGGGGUCCAUGGAAUCUGAUUUAGCAUCUAUGGAAUCUGAUUUAGGGUCUAUGGAAUCUGAUUUAGGGUAUAUGGAAUCUGACUUAGGGUCUAUGGAAUCUGAUUUAUGGUCGAUGGAAUCUGAUUUAGGGUCUAUGGAAUCUGACUUAGGGUCUAUGGAAUCUGACUUAGGGUCUAUGGAAUCUGAUUUAGUGUCUAUGGAAUCCGAUUUAGGGUCCAUGGAAUCUGAUUUAGGGUCUAUGGAAUCUGAUUUAAGGUCUAUGGAAUCUGAUUCAGGGUCUAUGGAAUCUGAUUUAGGGUCUAUGGAAUCUGAUUCAGGGUCUAUGGAAUCUGAUUUAGGGUCCACGGAAUCUGAUUUAGGGUCUAUGGAAUCUGAUUUAGGGUCUAUGGAAUCUGAUUUAGGGUCUAUGGAAUCUGACUUGAGGUCCAUGGAAUCUGAUUGAAGGUCUAUGGAAUCUGAUUUAGGGUCCAUGGAAUCUGAUUUAGAGUCUAUUGAAUCUGAUUUAGGGUCUAUGGAAUCUGAUUUAGGGUCUAUGGAAUCUGACUUGGGGUCCAUGGAAUCUGAUUUAACAUCUAUGGAAUCUGAUUUAGGGUCUAUGGAAUCUGAUUUAGGGUAUAUGGAAUCUGACUUAGGGUCUAUGGAAUCUGAUUUAUGGUCGAUGGAAUCUGAUUUAGGGUCUAUGGAAUCUGACUUAGGGUCUAUGGAAUCUGACUUAGGGUCUACGGAAUCUGAUUUAGCGUCUAUGGAAUCUGAUUUAUUGUCUAUGGAACUUGAUUUAGGGUCUAUGGAAUCUGACUUAGGGUCUAUGGAAUCUGACUUAGGGUCUAUGGAAUCUUAUUUAGUGUCUAUGGAAUCCGAUUUAGGGUCUAUGGAAUCUGAUUUAAGGUCCAUGGAAUCAGAUUUAUGGUCUAUGGAAUCUGACUUACGGUCUAUGGAAUCUGACUUAGGGUCUAUGGAAUCUGAUUUAGGGUCUAUGGAAUCUGAUUUAGGGUCUAUGGAAUCUGAUUUAGGGUCUAUGGAAUCUGACUUGGGGUCCAUGGAAUCUGAUUUAGCAUCUAUGGAAUCUGAUUUAGGGUCUAUGGAAUCUGAUUUAGGGUCUAUGGAAUCUGACUUAUGGUCUAUGGAAUCUGACUUAGGGUCUAUGGAAUCUGAUUUAGGGUCUAUGGAAUCUGACUUAGGGUCUAUGGAAUCUGACUUAG